rnacentral:rRNA from 1 species
UUGAUCAUGGCUCAGAUUGAACGCUGGCGGCAGGCCUAACACAUGCAAGUCGAGCGGUAACAGGGGAAGCUUGCUUCUCGCUGACGAGCGGCGGACGGGUGAGUAAUGUAUGGGGAUCUGCCCGAUAGAGGGGGAUAACCACUGGAAACGGUGGCUAAUACCGCAUAAUCUCUUAGGAGCAAAGCAGGGGAACUUCGGUCCUUGCGCUAUCGGAUGAACCCAUAUGGGAUUAGCUAGUAGGUGGGGUAAUGGCUCACCUA